GUAGCAGCCCGAGGAGAAGGACCGGACAAAUCCUCGGAGCAGUAAGCCCGCCGCUCUAGCACCUUUCCUCACCGCCGUCGUCAUCAAGAUCACAAGAGCAGGACUCUUUGGACGGUGCUGAAGAUUGACCGGUUGGAGUCUAUUGAUUUGGGUAUCCAGGAGUAUCCUACUAGUUACACGGAGAAUUGAUUGUCAAGAACUAAUUUGGCGGAUUCACGAGGGAAAUAGGUUUUCUGAAGUUUCUUGGUCCUUACUACAUGGUUGCAAUUACCAGGAGAAGAAAAGUUGGCACAAUCUGUGGCCAUGAUAUUUUUAUUCAAUUGGAAAGAGUGAAAUGGUUGCAAUA